rnacentral:rRNA from 2 species
CUGCGUAAGCCCACGCCGGUCGAAGAUACCAGGCCGCUGCGACUGUUUAUUAAAAACACAGCACUCUGCAAACACGAAAGUGGACGUAUAGGGUGUGACGCCUGCCCGGUGCCGGAAGGUUAAUUGAUGGGGUUAGCUAACGCGAAGCUCUUGAUCGAAGCCCCGGUAAACGGCGGCCGUAACUAUAACGGUCCUAAGGUAGCGAAAUUCCUUGUCGGGUAAGUUCCGACCUGCACGAAUGGCGUAACGAUGGCGGCGCUGUCUCCACCCGAGACUCAGUGAAAUUGAAAUCGCUGUGAAGAUGCAGUGUAUCCGCGGCUAGACGGAAAGACCCCGUGAACCUUUACUAUAGCUUUGCACUGGACUUUGAAUUUGCUUGUGUAGGAUAGGUGGGAGGCUUUGAAGCGUGGACGCCAGUUCGCGUGGAGCCAUCCUUGAAAUACCACCCUGGCAACUUUGAGGUUCUAACUCAGGUCCGUUAUCCGGAUCGAGGACAGUGUAUGGUGGGUAGUUUGACUGGGGCGGUCUCCUCCUAAAGAGUAACGGAGGAGUACGAAGGUGCGCUCAGACCGGUCGGAAAUCGGUCGUAGAGUAUAAAGGCAAAAGCGCGCUUGACUGCGAGACAGACACGUCGAGCAGGUACGAAAGUAGGUCUUAGUGAUCCGGUGGUUCUGUAUGGAAGGGCCAUCGCUCAACGGAUAAAAGGUACUCCGGGGAUAACAGGCUGAUACCGCCCAAGAGUUCAUAUCGACGGCGGUGUUUGGCACCUCGAUGUCGGCUCAUCACAUCCUGGGGCUGAAGCCGGUCCCAAGGGUAUGGCUGUUCGCCAUUUAAAGUGGUACGCGAGCUGGGUUUAGAACGUCGUGAGACAGUUCGGUCCCUAUCUGCCGUGGACGUUUGAGAUUUGAGAGGGGCUGCUCCUAGUACGAGAGGACCGGAGUGGACGAACCUCUGGUGUUCCGGUUGUCACGCCAGUGGCAUUGCCGGGUAGCUAUGUUCGGAAUAGAUAACCGCUGAAAGCAUCUAAGCGGGAAACUAGCCUCAAGAUGAGAUCUCACUGGGACCUUGAGUCCCCUGAAGGGCCGUCGAAGACUACGACGUUGAUAGGUUGGGUGUGUAAGCGCUGUGAGGCGUUGAGCUAACCAAUACUAAUUGCCCGUGAGGCUUGACCAU